GCCUAUGGCCAUACCACCCUGAAUGCACCCGAUCUUGUCCGAUUUCGGAAGCGAAGCAGGGUCGGGCCUGGUUAGUACUUGGAUAAGAGAAUUUAGCGCUCGAACACUAUUGCUGUCGAUU
rnacentral:rRNA from 1 species